ACAAACUUGGUCAUUUAGAGGAAGUAAAAGUCGUAACAAGGUUUCCGUAGGUGAACCUGCGGAAGGAUCAUUAAUGAAUUUUGAAAGGGGUUGUAGCUGGCCUUCCAGGCAUUUUGUGCACGCCCCGAUCAUCAUCCUUUCACACCUGUGCACCCUCUGUAGUUGGGCUGUCUGGCAAAGUCUUUGAUGUCUUUGCUCUGUUGGCCCUCCUAUGUUUUAUUACAAACUUUACAGUUCAAAGAAUGUCUAUCGCGUCUAACGCAUUAUAUACAACUUUCAGCAACGGAUCUCUUGGCUCUCGCAUCGAUGAAGAACGCAGC
rnacentral:misc_RNA from 1 species